rnacentral:rRNA from 1 species
UAGGGAAUCUUCCGCAAUGGACGCAAGUCUGACGGAGCAACGCCGCGCGAGUGAAGAAGGAUUUCGGUUCGUAAAACUCUGUUGUUAGAGAAGAACAGCGCAUAGAGUAACUGUUAUGCGUGUGACGGUAUCUAACCAGAAAGCCACGGCUAACUACGUGCCAGCAGCCGCGGUAAUACGUAGGUGGCAAGCGUUGUCCGGAUUUAUUGGGCGUAAAGCGAGCGCAGGCGGUCAAUUAAGUCUGAUGUGAAAGCCCCCGGCUCAACCGGGGAGGGUCAUUGGAAACUGGUUGGCUUGAGUGCAGAAGAGGCGAGUGGAAUUCCAUUUGUAGCGGUGAAAUGCGUAGAUAUAUGGAGGAACACCAGUGGCGAAGGCGACUCUCUGGUCUGUAACUGACGCUGAGGCUCGAAAGCGUGGGUAGCAAACAGG